rnacentral:rRNA from 1 species
GUAACGCGUGGGUAACCUGCCUCAUACAGGGGGAUAACAGUUAGAAAUGACUGCUAACACCGCAUAAUAGUACGCGAAACCGCAUGAUUUUUGCUAUCAAAAUAGUUUAUAGGUAUGAGAUGGGCCCGCGUCUGAUUAGCUAGUUGUGGGGUAAAGGCCUACCAAGGCGACGAUCAGUAGCCGGCUUGAGAGAGUGACCGGCCACAUUGGGACUGAGACACGGCCCAAACUCCUACGGGAGGCAGCAGUGGGGAAUAUUGGACAAUGGGGGAAACCCUGAUCCAGCCGACGCCGCGUGAGUGAAGAAGUAUUUCGGUAUGUAAAGCUCUAUCAGCAGGGAAGAUAAUGACAGUACCUGACUAAGAAGCCCCGGCUAACUACGUGCCAGCCGCCGC